rnacentral:sRNA from 1 species
AUUUAGCCCCGAUUGCAAUGAAAAUCCCGCAGUGAAGCAGCGGAGCAAAGCGGAGCCGCGCAAUGAGGAAUUGCAAUGGAAAGCGGGAAAAAGC